AUAUAUGCUUUAGUGAACGCAUAGGGCCUGUAAUCAUUAUGACGAGAAUAUAUUUCGUUGCUGUCGAUUUUUUCGUUAGAGUGAGAUCCCUCAAAAAGCUCAACUGAUAUUAUCUUGGUAGACAAAUUAGGCACAUCGCUCUGAUAACUAUAAACAAGCCAAUUCUCGGAGAAGACUCCAUAAACUUUGUCGAACAAUAUUAUUCCUUGGUGUUUAUUCUGAUACACUAUAGAACCGGUAACGGAGUCCAUUACAUAGACGACUAAAUCGUUUUUGCAUUUUGAAAAUAACGCAAAUAAAUUGGGAUUCAAAUAUUUGUACAUUACUUCACGGUUUUGCAAAACACGACCGAAAGAAGCCACUAUUUCGUGAGGAUUACGACGUAUAGAAGCAAUAACUAUUUCACCCUCGGCUAGAUUGUACGACCAUUGAACAUCCAUUGUAAGGUCAGC